CUGCAGCCGGUGUGGAGUUACACUGUGUUCUGUAUUUAGGACUAACUCUCCCAUAAUCCUUUGGGGUGGAAGCAGCAUGUGGACAAUCACACAGGCCUAGCUCCUCCCCCUGACGUCAGAGGUCCUUUAGCCCAUUUGGUUCUUCUAACAUCUACCAGUACCUUGAGGUUCCAGUUGAAGCAAUAGAGGGGCUCAUUCUGCGGUGGACGCUAAUAGCGCUGUGUGACUGAGCAGAAGCCGCAGGAGGCGUUAUGGUUCUGGACACCAUGGAUUAUUUCCCGG